CCGACUCCGGCUCAUCCUCCUCCUCCUCGCCGGCCGCCAAGUCAUCCUCCAAAUCCGCCGCCGCCCCCAUCGCCGCCCGCAACGCCGCCGCCCUCGCCGCCGCCAUGCUACUCAGGUUGCUCUGAUCAGUUGAUCUGGCUAGCAAUUCCGUUCUCCAUUAAGUCCAGUUUGGCUCAGAUCUUGUCAGAUUUUCUUUUCUCUGUUAAUUUAUUCCUCCCCCUCCUCCUUGGUUAAGCUUAAACAUUGGUUCUUGUGCGCUUGAUUGUUCCAUUUUCCAUUUUCUUAUUUUGUCGAUUUGAUUCCGAACGGUGUCUGGUCGAUGGUUGUAGUCGAGGUGUCAAAGAUUAUAAGUGUGAAUUGAACAAGAACUCCCCGGGUGCCC
rnacentral:lncRNA from 1 species